GUCGGAAGCUUGCUGCGGCUGAAAAUGGGAGAAAACUCUCUCAUUUCGGCUAAGUGCCCCUUUUAUAGGUGGCUGGCCAGGCCACGUUCGGGGGCCGAAAGUGCCUCCGCAUGCAUGCAAGGUUCGGCGGCCGAACUUGGAGUUCGGCGGCCGAACCUGCAUUUCCCUCACUCAAAACUUUCGGGCGCCUAAAGUCCCUCCGAAAGCAUGC
rnacentral:lncRNA from 1 species